GACGAACGCUGGCGGCGUGCUUAACACAUGCAAGUCGAACGGAAAGGCCCUGCUUUUGUGGGGUGCUCGAGUGGCGAACGGGUGAGUAACACGUGAGUAACCUGCCCUUGACUUUGGGAUAACUUCAGGAAACUGGGGCUAAUACCGGAUAGGAGCUCCUGCUGCAUGGUGGGGGUUGGAAAGUUUCGGCGGUUGGGGAUGGACUCGCGGCUUAUCAGCUUGUUGGUGGGGUAGUGGCUUACCAAGGCUUUGACGGGUAGCCGGCCUGAGAGGGUGACCGGCCACAUUGGGACUGCGAUACGGCCCAGACUCCUACGGGAGGCAGCAGUAGGGAAUAUAGCACAAUGGACGGAAGCCUGAUGCAGCAACGCCGCGUGCGGGAUGACGGCCUUCGGGUUGUAAACCGCUUUCGCCUGUGACGAAGCGUGAGUGACGGUAAUGGGUAAAGAAGCACCGGCUAACUACGUG
rnacentral:rRNA from 1 species